CUCUGCCUGGCAAGCCAGAAGUCGAAACCCCACGGGGUUUCGUCCAGUGCGCAGGCAAAGGAACCCGGUUCCUUGUCGCGCCAGCUUGUCUGGCCGGCAAAAAACAUAAACAGGUAGCGGGUGGCAAGUAACCUUGCAAGGUGAAAGUCAUCCGCUACC
rnacentral:ncRNA from 1 species